UCCAGACAUUGGGUACCAUUGCUAGAUGGUCACUUCGAUUAGUACAGGAAUUGGUUCCUGUGCUACCGGCUUAGGUUCGAACCUGUGGGGUCACACACAUUAGAGGUUCCUAUCUGAUCUGAUGGCUGGUGUAGAAUCCUACAUGUUUGAGACUCAGUGAUCGAGAAUCAGGAUUCGCUGAUCAUGAGUUCCACACAUUAUGGGUACCGGGGUCAAGAGUCCCACUGGUUGGGACUUUUCGAUCAGGG
rnacentral:lncRNA from 1 species